UGAUCCACCCGCCUCAGCCUCCCAUUACUGGCUAAAUUUAAAAGGUUGAACUGAACUUAGCCAGUUAGAGUAAUAGAAAGAAGAACAUAAGGAAGGAAGGAUAAAAGGACUGUGUUGUUUGAGCCAGGGCACAGUGGUGAGCUCAACAGGAGCACUGAGAGAAGCUUGGCAUAAGUCCAUCAAAUCCUGUUCUACAAGGUGAAGAGGACAGACAUCAGUAGACUGAGAGACUAGAAAAUGAGAAGAGAAUGUCAUGAAUACUGACAC
rnacentral:lncRNA from 1 species